GCUAAUCAUAAUUUUUUUUUUGGUCGUAAUGUAACAUUUCAUAGAUUGGAAUAAAUGACUUGGGCCCAAUACAAAUUAGAGGAUUCAAAAAAGACCAAGUCUACAAAUAUAAGAUCAUGGUCUACAACUCAACCUAAACUAUAAAAAAAAGAAAUGACCCAAGACCCAAUAAAGAAACUCUAGCUUGGGAUUUGACCCAAGUAAAAGGAUCCGCUAGACUGAGGAGGAGCACCUGCCACCAUCGAAUGAAGCAUUUCAAGGUAAACAAAGAAAAUCAUAAAGCACACAUGGAGAGUCAAAGGAAACCAUCGUUCCAGAAAAAGGCCCAUUACUACAACAAUUCUAAGAGCUCAAGCAAAGCCGAAGAAGUACCCAAGUAAUAGCGGCAUGGAGAAUGACAAAACCAUGGAGAGGGAAGUGGUAGAUCAACUCAGCAAUAGUCGAGGGUGGAGGUGGUAGGACUAUUCGGUGACUCACUCGUGCUCUUCAGGAUGGCCAUUUGAUUCUGCCAACUCAUGGACCCAACGAGUUACCACCAACACACACUUUCCGAAUUGUUUUGUUAGAUCUUAACAAAGUUGAAUCAAUGAUCUGAGCUCUCCAGAGUCACCUGUAAAUCAUAAACAAAGCAAAGAAAGGAAAAACACAGAAGCAAGGCAGCCCAAAAAAAACUUCAAAACAAUUAGAUUUCGGCAAGAUCAAGUUUUGAAAUUCUAUCUACAUCCUAAUUAAGUGGUGGGAGGGAAACACACGACUAAAUCAGGGGAGGGAGGACUUCCUCUAUCUGAAGAGGCAGAGAAAGGUUUGACAACAUGAAAGAGUAAAAGAUUGUCACCCUAAUCGACGAAAUGAAAGGAAGGCAGAGGAUGUUCUUUUUUUACAGAAUAGAGAGAGAAAAUAACUCUAAUUCUCUAUUUUAAUGCUUGUAAAAAUAAUUUUUAUUUUCAUGUUGUAUUUCCAUCGUAUUCUUUUGUUUAUAACGCAAAACAAUAUUAUUUUGAACAAUAAAAGUAAAUUGGGAGUGUACAAAAAAGAUUACCCAUUCUUACCGUUAGUAUUAAAAAAAAAACCCCAAAAAAGUUACCCAAGAAAGAGUAGAAAACGAUAAAGUUCCAAUUACCACUCCAACGGCACACGGUCCAAGCAAUGAAACCCCCAAUUUCCUGCUGACCAAACACACAAGCGAAGUAGUGGCUUAAAUAAAUCUACCAGCUAUGCUCACAGUAAUCAGUACUCAACACUCUCUUCUUCU
rnacentral:misc_RNA from 1 species